GACGAACGCUGGCGGCGUGCCCAAUACAUGCAAGUCGAGCGAAGUUUUUCUGGUGCUUGCACCGGAAAAACUUAGCGGCGAACGGGUGAGUAACACGUAAAGAACCUGCCUCAUAGACUGGGACAACUAUUGGAAACGAUAGCUAAUACCGGAUAAUAGCAUUAACUGCAUGGUUGAUGUUUAAAAGUUGGUUUUGCUAACACUAUGAGAUGGCUUUGCGGUGCAUUAGCUAGUUGGUGGGGUAAAGGCCUACCAAGGCGACGAUGCAUAGCCGACCUGAGAGGGUGAUCGGCCACACUGGGACUGAGACACGGCCCAGACUCCUACGGGAGGCAGCAGUAGGGAAUCUUCCGCAAUGGGCGAAAGCCUGACGGAGCAACGCCGCGUGAGUGAAGAAGGAUUUCGGUUCGUAAAGCUCUGUUGUUAGGGAAGAAUGAUUGUGUAGUAACUAUACACAGUAGAGACGGUACAUAACCAGAAAGCCACGGCUAACUACGUG
rnacentral:rRNA from 1 species